UCCUUCUUCGUUACUUUUUCUUUCUUUCUUCUUCCUUUUUCGUUAUUUUUUUUCUUUCUUCUUCUUUUCUUCUACUUCACGCUGAAGCAGACCCACCGAGCGAGAGAGAGUGAAAUCGAGAGAGAAAGAGAGUGAGUUGAGAGCUGAGAGAUGAGUCCGAGAGAUCGAGGGAGACCGGAGGAAGGAGAGACCCGAUCGUGGAGGACCCGACCAGUGGGUCGACGGUGGCGAUUCCGGCGAAGCAAAGCCGAAAAUCCGACGGCUUGAAGGCCGAUUUCCAGCGAGCCAGUGAGCCCGCAACCUGAAGCAACUCGGGGACUCGAGUGACCGUGACCCGUAGACCCGAUGCAGCCUGUAGCUCAGGGAGGUCCGACCCUCCAUGUCCGGCGGCCAGAAGUCGAAUUCUGACGGGCCUAGUGUUUUCCAGUCGAACCACUAAGACCCGUAAACUGAAACUUCUCAAACCCGUGCAACCCGUGACCCGUGUUUGUGUUGCAACCCAUCCGAACCGUAACCCGAAAAACCCAGAACCUGAUUCUCCAUGGCGUCUUCCGGCGACUUUUCCGGCGAUUCCAGCUCACUGAUUUUCGGUGGAUUUUCUGCACAAUCCUUGAUGUAAAAGCUCGACCUUGACAUCAUGGCAAAUCCAGAUGACAACAGUAAGACGAAAUCUUUUCCUUGUAAGGGCGUAGACCUCGCUAAGAGCAAUAGUUCGUGAUGAACUGGCCAAACCCUAGUAUUGUAUAGUAUGUCUUGUUCUUUUUGGAGUUCAUGACCUUGUAAAGAAUUAUUACUAGAAAGGUAUAAUAAAGUAGGAGAUUUAAAUUUAUAGUUGUAAA